GAACUGGCAACUUGGAGAAGUGGCAAGUCUUCCAGUAUGGGGAGCAAAACAGCUAUGGGUCAAGUCCGAUAUCUUUAGGAGAAGUCUUAUUGUGAGGGCGAGUUAUAUAACACCAUAGGACUGGCCGUCCCAUAUGAAAAGAUUAUAUUAGAAUUGAAUGAAGCUUUGUUUAUAUAUUGAUAAUGACAGUAUAUAUAUCGUGUCUUGACUAAUUGCGUGCCAGCAGUCGCGGUAAUACGUAAGAGACUAGUGUUAUUCAUCUUAAUUAGGUUUAAAGGGUACCCAGACGGUCAAUAUAGCUUAUAAAAUGUUAGUACUUGACUAGAGUUUUAUGUAAGAGGGCAGUACUUGAGGAGGAGAGAUGAAAUUUCGUGAUACCAAAGGGACUCUGUAAAGGCGAAGGCAGCCCUCUAUGUAAAAACUGACGUUGAAGGACGAAGGCACAGAGAACAAACAGGAUUAGAUACCCAAGUAGUCUUUGCAGUAAAUGAUGAAUGCCAUAGGUUAGAUUGAUCAAUUAUAGUCUAGGGUUAGUCUAGCAAACUAAUGCCCUAUGAUAUAAUUCAAAAUAUCUGGUCUAUAAAUGAAAGUGUAAGCAUUUCACCUCAAGAGUAAUGUGGCAACGCAGGAACUGAAAUC
rnacentral:rRNA from 1 species